rnacentral:rRNA from 1 species
UACGUAGGGGGCUAGCGUUGUCCGGAAUCACUGGGCGUAAAGAGCGUGUAGGCGGUCCGGUAAGUCCGCUGUGAAAGUCGGGGGCUCAACCCUCGAAUGCCGGUGGAUACUGUCGGGCUAGAGUGCGGAAGAGGCGAGUGGAAUUCCUGGUGUAGCGGUGAAAUGCGCAGAUAUCAGGAGGAACACCGGUGGCGAAGGCGGAUCUCUGGGCCUUACCUGACGCUGAGACGCGAAAGCGUGGGGAGCGAACCGG